GUCCACGCCGUAAACGAUGGAUACUAGCUGUUGGAGGCGACUUCAGUGGUUAAGCGAAAGUGAUAAGUAUCCCACCUGGGGAGUACGUUCGCAAGAAUGAAACUCAAAGGAAUUGACGGGGCCCGCACAAGCGGUGGAGCAUGUGGUUUAAUUCGAUGAUACGCGAGGAACCUUACCAAGGCUUAAAUGUAGAUUGACCGUUUUGGAAACAGAACUUUCGCAAGACAAUUUACAAGGUGCUGCAUGGUUGUCGU
rnacentral:rRNA from 1 species